AAGUCGUAACAAGGUUUCCGUGAACCUGCGGAAGGAUCAUUAACACGUAUCCAACGUUAAACAACCCUGUGAACCUUCAUUCCUGCUCUCCUCGUCCCUUGAUAAAGCAAUCCCUGGUAAAUCACGCGAACAGUUUGAUUCAGGGACCUCUUUUGAUACGCACUUGGAUUCGAUGCGGCGUCGUAAUUUAGACUGGUAAGGCUAUCAACGAGUAAAAUCGUUGACUGACGAUAAAGGAUGCUGCUUAACAAGCAGAUCACUGGCUCACGGUCAGUGGACAAGUCUCUGGGCUUCGGCCCCCCAUAUUAACCCCAGUUCUCAAUUCGGAGGAUGCGGAAACGCUCCUCAUAAAAACGAACAACCGUUAACAAUGGAUAUCUUGGUUCUC
rnacentral:misc_RNA from 1 species